GGACCCGCACAAGCGGUGGAUGAUGUGGAUCAAUUCGAUGCAACGCGAAGAACCUUACCUACCCUUGACAUGCCAGGAAGCCCGAUGAGAGUCGGGUGUGCCCGAAAGGGAGCCUGGACACAGGUGCUGCAUGGCUGUCGUCAGCUCGUGUCGUGAGAUGUUGGGUUAAGUCCCGCAACGAGCGCAACCCUUGUCACUAGUUGCUACGGAAACGGGCACUCUAGUGAGACUGCCGGUGACAAACCGGAGGAAGGUGGGGAUGACGUCAAGUCCUCAUGGCCCUUAUGGGUAGGGCUUCACACGUCAUACAAUGGCGCAUACAGAGGGCUGCCAACCCGCGAGGGGGAGCCAAUCCCAGAAAGUGCGUCGUAGUCCGGAUUGCAGUCUGCAACUCGACUGCAUGAAGUCGGAAUCGCUAGUAAUCGCGGAUCAGCAAUGUCGCGGUGAAUACGUUCCCGGGUCUU
rnacentral:rRNA from 1 species